rnacentral:rRNA from 1 species
CCUACGGGCGGCAGCAGUGAGGAAUAUUGGUCAAUGGACGAGAGUCUGAACCAGCCAAGUAGCGUGAAGGAUGACUGCCCUAUGGGUUGUAACCUUCUUUUAUAAAGGAAUAAAACGAGGCACGUGUGCUUUUUUGCAUGUACUUUAUGAAUAAGGAUCGGCUAACUCCGUGCCAGCAGCCGCGGUAAUACGGAGGAUCCGAGCGUUAUCCGGAUUUAUUGGGUUUAAAGGGAGCGUAGAUGGGUUGUUAAGUCAGUUGUGAAAGUUCGCGGCUCAACCGUAAAAUUGCAAUUGAUACUGGCAGUCUUGAGUACAGUUGAGGUAGGCGGAAUUCGUGGUGGAGCAGUGAAAUGCUUAGAUAGCACGAAGAACCCCGAUGGCGAAGGCAGCUUACUAAACUGUGACUGACAUUGAUGCUCGAAAGUGUGGGUAUCAAACAGGAUUAGAUACCCUGGUAGUC